CUUGUGCACAUUAUUUAAAAAUCAGUUCAUGCUGGGCAUGGUGGCUCAUGCAUGUAAUCUCAGCACUUUGGGAGAGAAGGUUGCAGUGAACUGAGAUCGCGCCACUACACACCAGCCUGGGCGACAGAGCGAGACUCUGUCUCAAAAAAUAAAAUAAAAUGAAAUAAAAUAAAAUAAAAUAAAAUAAUAAAUAAAUAAAUAAAAUAAAUCAUCAGUUCAUGUGGCCAUGUUCCCUCUCCCUUUCCUUCACAUAUUAUUUCCAAUUGUUCAGUAGAGAUACUGCCUAUUAUCACCUUGUAACCACUUUCCCUUCAAGAGACUAUCUCUGGCAUCUUACCUACCUUUUCUUCGAAUUUUAGGAACUCUGUACUCCAAUUCUCUAUAUUCCGGCUUUGUUCCAUAUUCCUCUUCCUGCUUAUUAGUCUGCCAGCUAUCAUUUACAAAACAACCACUUUGUAUCAGACACUAAGAACAUAAAGUAAUUCCAGUCUCUGCCCUCAAGAAGAUUACAUUACGGUGGC
rnacentral:lncRNA from 10 species